rnacentral:SRP_RNA from 2 species
GCCGGGCAUGGUGGUGCAUGCCUGUAAUCCCCGCUACUUGGGAGGCUGAGGUGGGAGAAUCGCUUGAACCUGGGAGGUGGAGGUUGCAGUGAGCUGAGAUCGCACCACUGCACCCCAGCCUGGGUGACAGAGUGAGACUCCAUCUCAA